UAUAUUUUAGUAUAUGAUGUAUAAGAGUUUUUGAUACUCUAGGGAGUAGAUUAUUUUCUAUUAAAUAUAA
rnacentral:tRNA from 1 species